UUGGUUAAGUUAGAAAGGGCGCACGGUGGAUGCCUUGGCACUAGGAGCCGAAGAAGGACGGGACUAACACCGAUAUGCUUUGGGGAGCUGUACGUAAGCGUUGAUCCAGAGAUUUCCGAAUGGGGGAACCCACUAUCUUUAGUCGGAUAGUAUCCUUACGUGAAUACAUAGCGUGAGGAAGGCAGACCCAGGGAACUGAAACAUCUAAGUACCUGGAGGAAGAGAAAGAAAAAUCGAUUUCCUGAGUAGCGGCGAGCGAAACGGAAAGAGCCCAAACCAAGAAGCUUGCUUCUUGGGGUUGUAGGACACUCUAUACGGAGUUACAAAAGAAAGUUAUAAAUGAAGCGGUCUGGAAAGGCCCGCCAAAGACGGUAACAGCCCGGUAGUUGAAAUGGCUUUCCCUCCAGAGUGGAUCCUGAGUACGGCGGAACACGUGAAAUUCCGUCGGAAUCCGGGAGGACCAUCUCCCAAGGCUAAAUACUCCCUAGUGACCGAUAGUGAACCAGUACCGUGAGGGAAAGGUGAAAAGCACCCCGGAAGGGGAGUGAAACAGUUCCUGAAACCGUGUGCCUACAAGUAGUUAGAGCCCGUUAAUGGGUGAUAGCGUGCCUUUUGUAGAAUGAACCGGCGAGUUACGAUUUGUUGCAAGGUUAAGCGGAAAAAGCGGAGCCGUAGCGAAAGCGAGUCUGAAUAGGGCGCAUAAGUAACAGGUCGUAGACCCGAAACCAGGUGAUCUACCCAUGUCCAGGAUGAAGGUAAGGUAAUACUUACUGGAGGUCCGAACCCACGCACGUUGAAAAGUGCGGGGAUGAGGUGUGGGUAGCGGAGAAAUUCCAAUCGAACUUGGAGAUAGCUGGUUCUCUCCGAAAUAGCUUUAGGGCUAGCCUCGAGGUAAAGAGUCAUGGAGGUAGAGCACUGUUUGGACUAGGGGCCCUUCUCGGGUUACCGAAUUCAGAUAAACUCCGAAUGCCAUGUACUUAUACUCGGGAGUCAGACUGCGAGUGAUAAGAUCCGUAGUCGAAAGGGAAACAGCCCAGACCACCAGUUAAGGUCCCCAAAUAUAUGUUAAGUGGAAAAGGAUGUGGGGUUGCUUAGACAACCAGGAUGUUGGCUUAGAAGCAGCCACCAUUGAAAGAGUGCGUAAUAGCUCACUGGUCGAGUGACCCCGCGCCGAAAAUGUACCGGGGCUAAACAUAUUACCGAAACUGUGGAUGAACC
rnacentral:rRNA from 1 species